GGCCUCAUGGCUCAGCUGGUAGAGCAUGCGCAUACAAAGCGUGGGCAACGUCUAUGCGUGAGUUCGAAUCCCGCUGAGUUUA
rnacentral:tRNA from 1 species